AAUACCUCAUUGAUUGGAACAAAUGCCUUCCAGUUGAUGAGGUGCAAGGACCUCAUCAACCGGAAGCGAUUCCUUCUAAUCAAUGAGUUAUU
rnacentral:miRNA from 1 species